UGUAACAGUCAACUAUACAAUAUAGUCUUUACGAGAUGGCGCUAGAAUUUAUAUUUGUUGUUAUCAGAGCUUACCAUGGUUCAUCGGUGGACCUCAAUUGACCAAUAUCUAUCGUAUUUUAAUGAAAUAUCGGGAUAAAAUGUCGUCUGCGUUAUUCCACGUAAACGUCCCAACAAAAUGAAGUAUUUAAGUAAUCAAUCGUUCCGCACUUAGAAAAUGUCUAACGCGCAUUUUUGGAAACGAAUAUGGUUUCUUUUGUUGUAUAUGCUUUUAUUUAUAUUCCCGCUGAUUGACAGCGAUGAUACAAAUCAAUUGACGUCUUGCGAACGAAAAUCUUCGCGCAGUUUAUUGUUUGUGAGCACAUUGGAUGGAAAAAUAUCUGCUUUAGAUGCUAAUAAUUUAGGAAAGAAACAAUGGACCUUAGAUUUGAAUGGAGGACCUAUGCUGUCAUCGAGUAUUCAUCGCAGAGAAUUGAACGAUAAUGGACAGUGGGUUCGUUUGAUACCAUCUUUGAGAGGUGGAUUAUACAAAUUUGAUGGGGAAAAUUUAGAAGCAAUACCGAUAUCUGCUGUACAGUUAUUAGAUUCAUCUUUUCGGUAUUCCGACAACUUAGUAUUUUCUGGUGGCAGAGAAGUGAAAUCGUAUGGCGUUUCAAGUACAACAGGCAAAGUAUUAUACGAGUGUGGAAUAAAUGGUUGUACUAAUAAUACGAGAGGAGAAUCGUAUAUCGAACAGGACGUGCUUAUCAUUCAACGAUUUCAACAAACGGUAAGAGCUGUUGAACCGCGUACCGGCAUCGAAAGGUGGAACUUCAGUGUUGGACAGCAUAAUUUAGUAUCGGUCUCUAAUUCUAAUAAUUAUUGUCGAAACAAAGCUGAAGAUCAAGUUUUAGAUAUUGAAAUUAAAGUUGUCAUUCCCGAUGGAUUAAUUUGGGCUAUCAAUAGAAACAAUCCUACUGUAAAAUUGUGGCAAUACAAGUUUGAUUCUCCAAUCAUUACCAUAUGGCGUGAAGAUGCGGAUAAAAACGAUAAGCAUAAUAAUUUGAAGGAAAUUAAUUUAUUUGAUAGUAUGCCAUGGUUUCCUGAAACAGAAUUUUCAACAAGCCCGGGCAUUUAUUUGGGUAUGCAUGAUCGCCAGUUGUACAUACAAGAAAAUGCGGCACUGCACAAAUCGUUAGAAGCAUUACCACUGUAUACACAGCAUUCAAAAUAUCCAUGGCAGCCUUAUCCUGCUAGUGUUACUACCGCAGAUAUAAAGGCUCUUCCAGGUCCGGAAAACAGUAACGAUGAUAAUGAUAUUUUACCUGAAGUAAACGAUACGCAAAGUACCACUGCAUUGUCAGUUUUGUAUAAUUCCGAAUAUGUAAACGGAAAUGGGUUUUACCUGUUUUCAGAGGAUCAAUUACAAUUAGAUAACAACAAACAGUGUAAUCGUACAAAUUCAAAUUCAACGCUCGCAAGAGAAGAGCAAAAACUAAUUACAUCGAAUGGUACUCAUAGCAAAGAUGACGAGACACCGGUUCAAGUUAUAAUCGUUUCAUUGUGGUAUUGGUGGAAGGAAGUUUUCAUUAUUUCAAUUACUACUGCUUUUCUACUUAACUUUGUGUUAACGCAACGUCUAUUAAAUGCUACUACAGUUGCUAAAGAUGCAGUACUUCCGCCUUUAAUAGUGGAGAGGCAUAUAGAGACAAAUAAAAAUAGUCCCCAGAUAAGCAGUGACAAAGAAAAUAUUGAUAAUUUUACAUCGCGUUACCUCACAGAUUUUGAGCCAGUGGAUUGUUUAGGAAAAGGAGGUUAUGGUGUUGUUUUCGAAGCAAAAAAUAAAAUAGAUGAUUGUAAUUACGCUAUUAAAAGAAUUGCUCUAUCGAAUAGUCAAUCUUCGAGAGAGCGUGUAAUGCGAGAAGUAAAGGCAUUAGCCAAAUUGGACCAUCAGAACAUUGUGAGAUAUUUCAAUGCAUGGUUAGAAUGUCCGCCCGCAGGAUGGCAAGAAAAACAUGAUCCGAAAUGGCUGAACCAGUUAAGAUUACCAACAGAAUUUCCUUCGGACGCUACUAAUGUUGAAAUGAAAGUUACUGAUUCAGUUUGCAUCAAUCUUUCUCAAACUGAUCAAUCGUCGGUAGAGAGUGCGUGCGAAGCUUACGAUGCAUUGAAUCAUUGCGAUAUGGAUGAAGAUUCCUAUAUCGUCUUUGAAAAAUCUCAUUCAAUGGGUCUAUAUGAAGAUAUAAGCGGCAUUGAUAAUUGCAGUAACGAAAGUUCGAAUGUAUCGUAUUCGAAUAAUGUAACUAAUAAAAUGCUAUCUAAAAUCGAUAACCAUAUACACUCUGAAAGUAUCAUAUUCGAACACACGGAUACUAGACAUUCAAAAAAAGAUGAAAACAGGAAACGCCAAAGAUCAUUUUCUUUAGAUUUGAAUAACAAGCCGAAUACACGUCGGUCUCCGAAAAUGUUCCUUUAUAUACAGAUGCAGUUGUGCCAAAGGCUAAGUCUCAGAGAUUGGCUAAAAAAUCAAUCGAUGCAAGAUUAUCGUCGUGUAUUGAAUAUAUUUCAGCAAAUAGUUGAAGCCGUGGAGUAUGUUCAUUUGCAAGGGCUUAUUCAUCGUGAUUUAAAGCCCUCGAAUAUAUUCUUUUCUUUCGAUGAUAAAAUAAAAGUUGGUGAUUUUGGUCUUGUAACCGCGAUGACAGAAGGGUACGACGAAGUUCGUACUCCUACGCAGAAAGAAAACAUUACUCUAAAGAAUAGUUCGCAUACCGCGUAUGUGGGUACUCAUCUUUAUAUGUCUCCUGAGCAAAUGAAAGGACGAGGCUACAAUUACAAAGUCGAUAUAUAUUCCUUAGGAAUCAUAUUUUUUGAACUUCUGAUUCCAUUUGUUACCGAAAUGGAGAGAAUAACAGCCCUUUUACAUUUGAGAAAGUCAGUGUUUCCAAACAACUUCGACACCGACCACCCAGCCGAAUAUGAUUUAUUAAAAAUGAUGUUGGAUGAAAAUCCUAACAAUAGACCUACAACGUUAGGUAUUAAGGCAAGACCGCCAUUGAAGAAUUACGAAAUAGCCAAUGGAUUUUGCAUUAACGAAGAUUCAAAAUGGCAUUUUGAACUUCCUCAGUUAACGAGACAUUCCUCCGUGACUAAUAGCAGUAGCGGUGAAUCUUGGGAAAACAUUAGUUGAGUAAUUAUACACCCAUAACUAACAAGCAGAGCCAAAACAGGAUAUGCCAUUGCCGCUUGGCGAAGGAUUGCUACACAUUCUGUUUCUGAAUUGCGUACCUAUACCACAACUCGAAGAACAAAAUGUCCAAACUGUCCACGAGGACCACAUACCGUUUACUAAUAGAGAGUUAUAAACAAUCAUAUUGUAUAUGUUGAACCUUCGCACGAGGUGUCCUGUGUUUUCUGUAUUCCUGAACACGAACGUUUUCGUAUUUGAAUACCAUUACCGCAUUGUACGUUGCACAUGCUCCAUUUACUCCAAUUAGUCCAUGUUCCCACUAUUAACCGAUAAUAUCAAUUAACGAUACAUGGCACAUGCUACGAAUGCAUGUACAUUCAAAGUACUCGAGUGUUUCUUGCAAUCG